AUGCUCAUCCACUCUACCUCAUCUACAUCUAUCCACAGGGUCUGCUGUCAGAGAGUUUGCAACAUGUCUGAUCAAAGUGAUAGCCAGAACAAGACCGAUGAGCAAGUUCAGAUGAGUGAGGGCACUAGUCCCUCAAGCAGUUAUGAUGAGGGCAGCAGGAGUACACCUAGCAAUUUACCAAAAGCUGCCACCAGGGCAAGGAAGAAGAAAACCUUAGAUUCUGAAGAUGAGGAUUAUAUUGCUGUUGAGGAUGAGGCCACUUCUAAGAAGAAGGUGCUGAAAAAGGAGUAUGGCACAGCUGCUACCACCAAGCCAGGCAUGCACAAGAAGGCACCUGCCAGGAGAAUUCCCGCUUCCAAUCCUAGGAAGGUUGCCACAGGUGAAACAACGGAGUUCACUCUUGAGUCCAAAAAAAUUGGAGAGGGCAAGAAAAGGAAUGAAAAGGUCAAGAAGACCAUGGCCAGAGUUAUUGGCAAGCCCUCUAUGAGGAGAUCCUCUGAUGAAGAAGAAGAGAAAGAGGAUGUUGCACCAGCUCCUAAAGCUCAGAAGCUAAUGGGAGAUGCAAUCAAAUCAGGGGCUGCUCCAUCUAAGCCCAAAGCUGCUCCUAAGGCUGCUGCACCAGCACCAAAGCCUAAACCCAAGAGGAACACCAGAAAUAUUCCUGCAUCUGAGAAGAACAAGGCCGCAGUGCCUGAAGCUGCUGAAGAAGAAGAUGAUUCUCUUGUGUUGAGGAAGUUGAAGCCCAAGAUUUCUGAUCACAAUGAUGCUCAUCCAGUUGCUGAAGACAUGCAUAUCAGAAAGGAUGCUGGACUGAGAUUGUGGAGACAGUGA
rnacentral:rRNA from 1 species